UAUGCAACUAAUGGAUUGUCAUGUUAAAAGGAAUACUCACUUUGCUUUAUAUUAGAUGAAGUUACAGAAGGAAGAUGGUCUUGGCAAACAAGAUGUAACAUAAGUCUUCUUAGAUGCCUUUGAAAUAAGAGUGUCUCCGCGUUAAUGGGAAUUGCAAUUACAUUAUCUGUUGGUAGGUUCAUCAUUGGGCUACCUAUUUAGAUUGGAAGGAUCGUUGUUCCAAUUUUUUAGGUAAGUGAGAAAGAAGUGUUGUUUCGGUUACACAAUUUGUAUGAUUUGUACAAUAUACUUCAAUCUAAGAUCAAGACUGUUUCAAGAAUGACAAUGAAGUUUAAACACCUUCAACACAAGUUCAAAAUGACUAAUCAAAAUGAACUAUCAAAGAAGUAUGUUUAUCUUAAAGAAAUAAGAUGAAGUAGAAGUAGAACCAAGUCCUCUAAUUUCACGGGGUGUCCUUAAGGAAUUAAUUCCCCUCAAGUACCCGAGGUUGUUGAAUUUUUCCUCCCAAGAUAAAAUGGCUCGCAAUCUGAAGGUAACAGUACCUCAACCUUUCAGAUUCCUCAAAUACACUCAACGACUGAUUAUCACAAAGAGUUUUUGAAAGAAGAAGAAUGUUUUUCAGCACUUAAAGUUAUGUCUAUACCCGAGGAGAAGUUCAGGUAUUUAUAGCAGUCAAGCGUUCCUUCGGAAAGGAAGCAAUGGUUCAUGGAAAGAUGUAUCAUUUUGGAACAGUCAUAUAUGUGCCUUCCAAAAUAGUAUGUCUUUUCUGAAUAGUCACCCCUUUUCUGAAAUAGUGAGUCAUUUUCUCGAAGGGUUGCAUCCCUUUUGAGGUGCGUUUCUACAUGCAUUUGCAUGGCGUACAUAGAGAAAAUAUUUUCAUUAGAUUUUUCGAUUACACUUGUUUUUUCAAGUUUUAAAUAAACUUUGUCUAAAAAAAUUAAUCUCUUGAUCAAUCAUUUUUCAAAUCCAAAUUUAAAUCCGAAUCUAAAUCCGAAUCCAAAGCCAAAUCCAAAUCCAAAUCCGAAGCUGAAGCGAGCUGAGCGAGUGAUGACAAUGAAGGCGUGAGGAAUCUCUUGGUUCUUGACUCACUAUCCACUUGAAGGUGUGUUUCUUAAUAAAAAUGCAAGAAAGUUACUUUCUCCCACCAAUGUCGGAGAAGUAGACUUUCUUUUAAGUGAGCAACUCCAUUUUAAGUGAGAACUCACUUUCCCUCCAAUAAUUCCCUCCAUUUUCCAUUCACACAUCAAACUUGAACCCAACAAUCCCCCACAUGAAUGGGGAAUGACUAUCUUAUUAAAAAUUUACGGACAAGUAUAUGAUCAACAAGCAAAGACUGAUUGCAUCUAGAUAAGUGAGUUUCCCUUUGAAUUUUCUCUAGUAAACAUGCAUCGAAUGCACUCGGUCAAUCAUUAGAUUUGAUAUCCUUGAACCGUUGAACUUUAAUGUACACCUAGAUAAUACAUGCCAUACAAUCAGUUUCUUACCAUUUAUGUUUCUCUCGAUUUUAUUCGUUUUAGCCAUGAACACAUUCUGAUUUCAUGAGAGCUUAGAGAAUAGGCCUUUACUAACAUUCUCUUUGAAGCGGCUUCCAGUUCACCCUCACAUAGGUGAUUUCUUAACGUUCAAUCCUAUAGAUUAUACUAUUUGGUCAAAUCUGCCAAAAUUAGAUAAUCAUUAAAAAACUUUACAUUAUAAGCCUUAUCCUUGUUUCUUAAACAUUGUCUACAUCAUGAGAAUGGAUUGGGUAUAUUAACAAUGUUGAACCUUUAUUCACAAAUUUGUUUGAUCUCCUUGAACCUAGAUCUUGGGAUCUCCUGUCUUUUAGGUAGAGUUAUUGCCAUGCUAACUUGUCCAAGGCCAUAAACCUAUUCCCUUCGAUGUUUUCUCAACUCCCUAUUUAGAUAGGACUUUUUUAAAUGGAUCCAAUAUAUUAUCCUAAUACUUCACAUAGUAAAUAGUGAUAAUUCCACUAGAGAGUAGUUCUUUAAUGGUUUUGUCUCCGUAUUAUAUGACAAGAUUUACUGUUAUACAUCAUGCUCCCUACCCUACCUAUUGCUGCUUGGCUAUCACAUUAUAUACCUACUGGUGCCAAUGGUUUGGGCCAAUAAGGGAAUAUCUUCCAAGACAUUCCAAAGCUAUUUAGCUUCAUCACCAUCUUUAUCUAAUGCAAUAAAUUCAGAUUCCAUUAUAGAGUGACCAAUGCAUGUCUGUUUAGAUGAUUUUCAAGAGACUGCUCCUCUACGUAAAGUAAAUACAUAUCCACUUGUGUAUUUUACUUCAUUCGAUCUGGUGAUCCAAUUUUCAUUACUAUAUCCUUCAAUAUAAUCUUGAGUAUAUCUAAGAUACCCCAAAACUCUUUUCAAUCCAAUGGAGUCUUAGCAAUAACAAAAUUCAAAUACUUGAACUUGUCAAGUACCUUUUCAAUGUAAUGAGACUAUGACAACGCCAACCCUUGUAGUGUUUUAAGGAUUCUUAUUCCUAAGAUCACAUCCGUAACUCCAAGGUAUUUCAUAUCAAACUUUCUCUCAAGCAUUUGUUUCAUAGCAUUUAUGUUAGGAAUGUCUCAAUUGAUGACCAACAUGUCAUCCACAUGCAAACAAAUAAUGACCUUGUGAUUUGGAGUGUCGUUAAUGUAAACGCAUUUAUCACAUUCAUUUAUUUUAAACCUGUUUACCAACAUAGUUUGGUCAAACUUUGCAUGCCACUAUUUAGGUGCUUGUUUUAUUUCAUAGAGUGACUUAACAAGUUUGCACACCUUCUUUUCUUUACUAGAAACCACAAAACCCUUAGGAUAUUUCAGGUAAAUUUCUUCCUCCAACUUUACAUUUAGGAAUCUUGUUUUCACAUCAAUUUGAUAGAUUUCAAGACCAUAUAUCUCCACCAAAGAAACUAACAUUCGAAUUGAUUAUCCUCAUUACAGGAAAGUAUGUAUCAAUAUAAUCAAGGUCUUCCUUUUGUUUGAAGCCUUUUACUACAAGUCUUGCCUAGAAUUUGUCAAUAGUACCAUCCAUUUUCAUUUUCCUUUUGAAGAUCCAUUUAGAACCUAAAGGUUUAUUUUCUAGAGGAAGAUCAACCAAAUCCCAAGUGUGGUUGCUCAAGAUUGAUUCAAUCUCACUAUUGACAACCUCUUUCCAAAAGAAUACGUCUGAAGAUGAAUUAUUUCUUUAAAUAUUUAAGGCUCAUUUUCUAAGGAAAAUGUUACAAAAUCUAAUCCAAACAAAGUUGAAAUUCUUUGACGUGUACUAUGUCUUGGAUUCUCAUUAUUAUGUACAUCCUCACUUGGUUCAUCUAGAGGUUAUUUAGACCCUCCACUAGAUUAUUCAUGUCUAGUUUUAUAUGAAUAAAUGUAUUCAAAAAAUUCAGCAUUAUCUAAUUUAAUUUCCAUAUUUUCAAUUAUAUCCGGAUUUUCAGAUUUAUGAACCAAAACCCUACAUUUUUACUAAUUUUAGAAUAUCCUAUGAACACACAGUCCAUUGUCUUAGAUCCUAUUUUCACCCUUUUAGGCAUAAAAACUUGGACUUUCGCUAGAUACCCCCACACUUUGAAAUAUUUCAAGUUGGGUUUCCUUUCUUUCCAUUUUUCAUAUGGAAUUGAUUGUGUCUUACUAUGGGACACUCUAUUGAGUAUUCGGUUAGCUUUAAGGAUUGCUUCUCCCAUAAGUUUGUGGUAAACCUAAAUUUAUUAGUAAGGCAUUCAUCAUUUCCUUUAAGGUUUGGUUUUGUCUUUCCGUAAUUCCAUUAGAUUGAGGUGAAUACGAGGCCACAGUUAAAUGGAUAAUUCCAUUCUCUAUUCGUAUUUCCACAAAGGAAGAUUCAUAUUCUCCACCCCUAUCACUUCUUAUCAUUUUGAUCCUUUUCUCUAACUAAUUUUCAACUUCUAUUUUAUAUUGCCUAAACACAUCUAUUGCUUCAUCCUUACUAUUUAGCAAAUAGACAUAACAAUAUCUAGUGCAAUCGUCAAUAGAAGUUAUAAAAUAGUUUUUCCCACCACUAGAUGGUGUUGAUAUCAUAUCACAAAUGUCAGUGUGGAUUAAGUCUAAGUAAUUAGAAUUUCUUUCAAUGGACUUAUACGGAUGCUUAGCAUACUUUGAUUUCACACACGUUUGACAUUUUGAUUUAUUGCACUCAAAAUUUGCAAAAGUUAAUCAAUUUUUGUAAUAUUUUGUAAUUGACAUAUCCUAAUCAUUCAUGCCAUAAAUCAUUAAACUCAAGCAAGUAAGAAUAAAAAGAACUUUUAUUGAUUUCAACAUUCGUUACAUUCAUCUUAAAUAGGCCGUCAGUGAGGUAGCCUUUUCCUACGUACACUUCUCCUUUACUAAGUAUAAUUUUUCCAAAAAUAAAUACAUACUUGAAUCCAUUUUUAUCAAGAGGUGAUACAGAAAUCAAGUUCUUCCUUAACUUCAGAACAUACAAGACAUUGUUGAGAGUCAACACUUGGCCUAAAGUCAUUGUCAAGCAUAUUUUUCCUGUCCCUUCAACUUUUGCAGUUGCGGAGUUUGCCAUGUAAAUCUUAUCUUCACCUUGAGUCAGAGCGAACACAGCAAAUAACUCUUUAUUUACACAAACAUAGUGGGUGGCACCAAAAUUCAUCCACCAUUCUCGAGAAUUUCUCACCAAGUUACAUUCAGACACCAUGGCACGCAGAUCAUCCAUUUCAUUCUUGAAUUCAGUCAUAUUUGCUUGGUCCUUCUUUUUGCCUUUCUUUGGGGCACGACAAUCUGUUGACUUGUGGUCAAUCUUGCCACAACUAAAGCAUUUGCCUUUGAAUUUCUUCUUAGGCUGAUUGCUUUGUUGUCUAGUUUUUUUCCACUUCUUUGAGUUGUUGGGGUCGUUUUCUACAAGGUUAGCUCCAUCCAUUGCAGAAUUUUCUUUAGACCUCCUCUCUGCAGAUUUAUUAUCUUUUUUAAUACACAACCUCACAAUGAGGUCUUCGACUGCCAUUUUUUUUAUGUUCCAAGCAAUUCUUGAAGUCCAUCCACAAAGGUGGCAACUUCUUAAUAAUUGCAGCAAUUUGAAAUGCCUCGUUCACAACCAAACCUACAAGAAAGUUUAUGUGAACAUUACAAAAAUUUUAGCUUUCUCAAAUAAGGUAUUCAUUAAAUUCAUACCUCUCGCAAAGAGAUCGUGGAUGAUGACUUGCAACUCCUGUAUUUGAGAAACGAUAGUCUUAUUGUUGAUCAUUUUGUACUUUAGGAAUCGUGCAACAUAGAACCUCUUGGUUCCCACAUCCUCAGUUUUAUAUUUCUUUUUUUGUGCAUUCCACAAUUCUUUAGAUGUCUUCAUUAUGCUAUAGACGUUGUAUAGGUCAUCUUGUAGGCCACUUAGAAUGUAAUUCCUACAUAGGAAAUCAAAAUGUUUCCACGCCUUUGUUACAAUAAAUCACUCCUAGUCCGAAGUUCCUUCAGGCACUUCUAGAGCAUCUUAUGAAAUAAACCUUUGAAGAAAUAAGGUAGUCAAAUAUAAGAACAUCUUUUGUUCCCAUCUUUUGAAAUCAACUCCAAAAAUUUUUUGGGCUUUCUGUUAAUGCCAUAAUGGGUGGCGCAUUUGUGCGACUGGUUGUAAUAACAUUAGUUGCUGGCACACUUGACACACCAUCAACAUGACCUUCUGUAAUCAAUUUUCCUAUCAAAAAUACAUAGUCAACAUUUAGUAUAAAGUUAUACUAAUCACAAGUUCAUAGCAACUUAUAAAUACCACUUGUUUCUAGUUUAACGAUGAAGUUUUUAUAUCUUCCAAUCAUUAACCAGGUGAGAUUUAACUUGUGAUGAAGAUUUUAUUUCUUUAAAUCACUUAUUAAGUUCAAAUGGAGUAGAAAGCUUAAGGCUUUAAUCUCCAGAAACCAAAAACAAUACAGAUUAUGUGUUAUUUCCUUAAGAUUGUUGUUUUAGGUACACAAAUCUGUAUGUUAGUUUUCUAAACUUCAACAUAAGUUCAAAACUUUUCAAGAACACUUAUGAAGUUUUUCAAUACCUUCAACACAAGAUAAAAAAUGUCCUAUCAAAGAAGUGUGUUGUUUUAUUAAGAAAAAGAUGAAACAGAAUAAGUCAAGUCUUUCGAAUCCACGAAGUGUCCUUAAAGAAAUAAUUCCUCUCAAGUACCCGAGGUUGCGAAAUUUUCCUCCCAGGAUAAAAUGGUUUCACAACCAUAAAGUAGUGGUACCACAAAAAUUCUAGUUUUCUUCGAACUCACUCAACGGGAGAUGAUCACACAGAGUAUUUUAGAAGCAAAGAAAAGUUUUUCCAAGUGCAAAAAAAAUUCGUACUAAACCUAUGUAAAAUGCAGGUUUAUAUAGCCAUGAAGCUCCCCUUCGGAAAAGAGGAAAUGUUUUAUUCGGAAGGUGUAUCCUUUGGAACAGUCUUGUUUGUCCAUUCGAAUCAUUGUAUUUUUUCUGAACAGUCACAACCAUCGAAAGGUGUAUCCUUUGGAACAGCCAGGUCUAUCCAUUCGAAUCAUUGUGUCUUUUUCUGAACAGUCACAACCAUCUAAACAAUCAUCCCUUUUUCCAAAAUAGUGUGUUAUUUCUCAAAGAGUUGUGUCACUUUGAAGCAACUUUCUACAUGCAGAAGCAUGCAUGCGUUAAUGGAGAGGAAAAACUGUUGCAUUUUUUCUUUUGGUUUUCGGACUUGAUUUUCAUAAUUUUUAAAUAAAUUUUUGUCCAAAAAAUUAAUCUCAUUAAUUUUCAAAUCCAAAGCCGAGUCGAGCAAGCGACGAUGAUGACGGCGCGAGGCACCUCUUGGUUCUUGCCUCACUAUCUAUGUGGAGUUUGUGUUUCUUAAUAAGAACACGUGAAAAUUCCUUUCUCCCACCAUUGUGGGAGAAUUAGUAGACUUUCCUUAUUGUGAGUACAUUUUCUAUUGAGGUAUGUUUUCACUUUCCCUCCACUACUUUCCUCCAUUUUUCAUUCACACUUCUAACUUGAACCCAACACAGAGAUCUUCUAUGUCCUUGUGCAAUAUAUUUUUCCAUUGUUAGAGAUCUUCUGUAUACUGUAAAUUGUCAAUCAUUAGUUUGUCAUUAUUAAAACAUAUCACGUUGAUAUGGAAAGCUAAAAAUGUUGACAAUUUUUUAAAACAUUUUUACAUGAUCAAUCAUUGGAAAAAUGAUUUAUCACAAUAUUUAUUUUUCCAUAGACAAUUUCCCUCUGUACCAAGCAAUUAAAAAUGAUUUUAUAUUGUCCUCUUCAUUUGAUUUGUAUUGUGAUUUUUAAUUUCAUAAAGUAGGAGAGGAAUUUCCAAGGUCCCAUGUAUUUCUGUGUUAGUAGGCUAUAUUACCUCCUCUUUGCUUCCAGUAAAUAAUCUAGAACUUGUUAUGUGAUUUUGGUACUACUAGUAAAGUUAUGUACUAUUGUUUGAUGCUUUUUUUGGUUUUUGACUGCAGUUAGCAAAAUCAGAGUGUGAAGAAAGAAAAUAAGAAAAAUAACUCAAGAUCAGAAGG
rnacentral:lncRNA from 1 species